CGAAGGCUUCCAGCAGUCCAAGCAACCCUCGCCCCUGGACUUCGUCAGUCCACUCAAGGGUGGAAUGAUCGGACCGCUCUUCAGGCCAACUGAUCAAGCUUCCAUUGACCUACGGACUGCAGGAUGUUACUACCAAUUCCAUCACUACGAGGAGGGGGACAGAAUCGUGACGAAUGAGCCUUGCCUAAACUGUACAUGCCAC